rnacentral:rRNA from 1 species
AACGAACGCUGGCGGCAUGCCUUACACAUGCAAGUCGAACGGCUCUUCGGAGCAGUGGCGGACGGGUGAGUAACGCGUGGGAAUGUGCCCUUAGGUACGGAACAACACAGGGAAACUUGUGCUAAUACCGUAUGUGCCCUUCGGGGGAAAGAUUUAUCGCCUUUGGAGCAGCCCGCGUUGGAUUAGGUAGUUGGUGAGGUAAAGGCUCACCAAGCCGACGAUCCAUAGCUGGUCUGAGAGGAUGACCAGCCACACUGGGACUGAGACACGGCCCAGACUCCUACGGGAGGCAGCAGUAGGGAAUCUUGCGCAAUGGGCGAAAGCCUGACGCAGCCAUGCCGCGUGUAUGAUGAAGGUCUUAGGAUUGUAAAAUACUUUCACCGGGGAAGAUAAUGACGGUACCCGGAGAAGAAGCCCCGGCUAACUUCGUGCCAGCCGCCGCAGUAA